CACGCCGUAAACGUUGGGCGCUAGGUGUGGGGCUCUUUCCACGAGUUCCGUGCCGCAGCUAACGCAUUAAGCGCCCCGCCUGGGGAGUACGGCCGCAAGGCUAAAACUCAAAGGAAUUGACGGGGGCCCGCACAAGCGGCGGAGCAUGCGGAUUAAUUCGAUGCAACGCGAAGAACCUUACCAAGGCUUGACAUACGCAGAAAACCGGCAGAGAUGUCGGGUCCGCAAGGGCUGCGUACAGGUGG
rnacentral:rRNA from 1 species